UACGGGGGGGGUAAGCGUUGUUCGGAAUUACUGGGCGUAAAGGGCUCGUAGGCGGCCAACUAAGUCAGACGUGAAAUCCCUCAGCUUAACUUGGGAACUGCGUCUGAUACUGGAUGGCUUGGAUUUGGGAGAGGGAUGCGGAAUUCCAGGUGUAGCGGUGAAAUGCGUAGAUAUCUGGAGGAACACCGGUGGCGAAGGCGGCAUCCUGGACCAACAUUGACGCUGAGGAGCGAAGGCGUGGGGAGCAAACAGG
rnacentral:rRNA from 1 species